AAGCAGUGAGGCGUUGGGUGCGAAGGUCCAGCGCCGAGAGGGAAACAACCCAGACCAUCAGCUAAGGUCCCAAAAUGUAUGUUAAGUUGAAUAAACGAGGUUGGAUUGCACAGACAGCUAGGAUGUUGGCUUGGAAGCAGCCAUUCAUUUAAAGAGUGCGUAACAGCUCACUAGUCGAGCGAUCGUGCGUGGAUAAUAAUCGGGCAUUAAACAUACUGCCGAAGCUAUGACAUCGAAAGAUGGGUAGGGGAGCAUUCUAUAUGCGUUGAAUGUGAGGGGUGACCUUCGCUGGAGCGUAUAGAAAAGCAAAUGUAGGAAUAAGUAACGAUAAAGCAGGCGAGAAACCUGCUCACCAAUAGACUAAGGUUUCCUUGGCGACGCUAAUCGUCCAAGGGUUAGUCGGGACCUAACGCGAACCCGAGAGGGGUAGUGGAUGGAUAAUGGGUUAAUAUUCCCAUACUUGGUAUAACUGCGAUGGGGUGACGGAGUGAUGAAAGAACCGCGUACUGACGGAAU
rnacentral:rRNA from 1 species